rnacentral:pre_miRNA from 1 species
ACACACAUACGUGUAUAUGCGUGUAUGUGUAUGUAUAUAUACACAUAUACGUGUAUAUGCGUAUGUGUAUG